GGGUUGUGAGGUUAAGCGACUAAGCGUACACGGUGGAUGCCCUGGCAGUCAGAGGCGAUGAAGGACGUGCUAAUCUGCGAUAAGCGUCGGUAAGGUGAUAUGAACCGUUAUAACCGGCGAUUUCCGAAUGGGGAAACCCAGUGUGAUUCGUCACACUAUCAUUAACUGAAUCCAUAGGUUAAUGAGGCGAACCGGGGGAACUGAAACAUCUAAGUACCCCGAGGAAAAGAAAUCAACCGAGAUUCCCCCAGUAGCGGCGAGCGAACGGGGAGCAGCCCAGAGCCUGAAUCAGUGUGUGUGUUAGUGGAAGCGUCUGGAAAGGCGCGCGAUACAGGGUGACAGCCCCGUACACAAAAAUGCACAUGCUGUGAGCUCGAUGAGUAGGGCGGGACACGUGGUAUCCUGUCUGAAUAUGGGGGGACCAUCCUCCAAGGCUAAAUACUCCUGACUGACCGAUAGUGAACCAGUACCGUGAGGGAAAGGCGAAAAGAACCCCGGCGAGGGGAGUGAAAAAGAACCUGAAACCGUGUACGUACAAGCAGUGGGAGCACGCUUAGGCGUGUGACUGCGUACCUUUUGUAUAAUGGGUCAGCGACUUAUAUUCUGUAGCAAGGUUAACCGAAUAGGGGAGCCGAAGGGAAACCGAGUCUUAACUGGGCGUUAAGUUGCAGGGUAUAGACCCGAAACCCGGUGAUCUAGCCAUGGGCAGGUUGAAGGUUGGGUAACACUAACUGGAGGACCGAACCGACUAAUGUUGAAAAAUUAGCGGAUGACUUGUGGCUGGGGGUGAAAGGCCAAUCAAACCGGGAGAUAGCUGGUUCUCCCCGAAAGCUAUUUAGGUAGCGCCUCGUGAAUUCAUCUCCGGGGGUAGAGCACUGUUUCGGCAAGGGGGUCAUCCCGACUUACCAACCCGAUGCAAACUGCGAAUACCGGAGAAUGUUAUCACGGGAGACACACGGCGGGUGCUAACGUCCGUCGUGAAGAGGGAAACAACCCAGACCGCCAGCUAAGGUCCCAAAGUCAUGGUUAAGUGGGAAACGAUGUGGGAAGGCCCAGACAGCCAGGAUGUUGGCUUAGAAGCAGCCAUCAUUUAAAGAAAGCGUAAUAGCUCACUGGUCGAGUCGGCCUGCGCGGAAGAUGUAACGGGGCUAAACCAUGCACCGAAGCUGCGGCAGCGACGCUGAUGCGUUGUUGGGUAGGGGAGCGUUCUGUAAGCCUGUGAAGGUGUGCUGUGAGGCAUGCUGGAGGUAUCAGAAGUGCGAAUGCUGACAUAAGUAACGAUAAAGCGGGUGAAAAGCCCGCUCGCCGGAAGACCAAGGGUUCCUGUCCAACGUUAAUCGGGGCAGGGUGAGUCGACCCCUAAGGCGAGGCCGAAAGGCGUAGUCGAUGGGAAACAGGUUAAUAUUCCUGUACUUGGUGUUACUGCGAAGGGGGGACGGAGAAGGCUAUGUUGGCCGGGCGACGGUUGUCCCGGUUUAAGCGUGUAGGCUGGUUUUCCAGGCAAAUCCGGAAAAUCAAGGCUGAGGCGUGAUGACGAGGCACUACGGUGCUGAAGCAACAAAUGCCCUGCUUCCAGGAAAAGCCUCUAAGCAUCAGGUAACAUCAAAUCGUACCCCAAACCGACACAGGUGGUCAGGUAGAGAAUACCAAGGCGCUUGAGAGAACUCGGGUGAAGGAACUAGGCAAAAUGGUGCCGUAACUUCGGGAGAAGGCACGCUGAUAUGUAGGUGAAGCGACUUGCUC
rnacentral:rRNA from 1 species